rnacentral:rRNA from 1 species
GGUUAAGCGACUAAGCGUACACGGUGGAUGCCCUGGCAGUCAGAGGCGAUGAAGGACGUGCUAAUCUGCGAUAAGCGUCGGUGAGGUGAUAUGAACCGUUAUAACCGGCGAUUUCCGAAUGGGGAAACCCAGUGUGUUUCGACACACUAUCAUUAACUGAAUCCAUAGGUUAAUGAGGCGAACCGGGGGAACUGAAACAUCUAAGUACCCCGAGGAA